GGAGAUGUGGCAGAGCGGCCGAAUGCACUGGUCUUGAAAACCAGCGAGGUUCAUUCCUCCAGGGGUUCAAAUCCCCUCAUCUCCG
rnacentral:tRNA from 1 species